CCACCUUUUCACACCGGGUGUGUCGGUCCCUGGAGCCGCAACAACACAGUUCCGCCUGGAGGUUGCUUGGCGUCUGCGCCAGCCCAGAGUUCCAGGCAUCUUCCACAAGCGUUGCUGCUCAUAACAGCUGUGCGGCGUCGGGAAGCACUGUGCGGAAAGGCAAAUUACGGUAAAAGUAGGUCCCAACUCUACCACAUGGCCAGCUAAUUUAUCUCGCCUUCUGAACCUGUUAGCUCAGCUGAGCAAUGGAGGCCAUCGUAUGUCUUAGAAUAAUACCAGCUUCUUGGAUUGCUAUGAAGAAAAUGGAAGAGCCAACCCUCAAAUUCACUUGAAAUUGCAAGGAGCUCAGGCUAUCCAAAGCAAUCUCGAAAUAGAAGAAAAAGUUGCAAGACUGAGAUUUCCAGAUUUCAAAACUUACAAAGAGGUACUGUAAUGAAAACAAUGUGGUACUAGCAUGCAAAUAACAUACAGACUGACAGACUAGAAUUGGGAGUCCAGAAAUAAUCCAUAAAUAUAGCCAGUUGAUUGACAAGUGUUGUAAGUCUAGCAAACUGGAAAGUUCUCUUCAAUAAAUGUUUUUUUUUGAAAACUGGACCUUCACGUACACAAGGAUGAUGCUGGGACCUUACUAAAUACCAUAAACGAACUGAAACAGACAUUGAUCAAUAAUCUAAAUAAAACAGUUAAAACAAUAAAACUUGGAAACACAGGGUUAAUGUGCAUGACCUUGAACUUGUUAAUGGACAUUUAGAUAUAAUACCAAAAAUACAAGUACCAAAAAAAAAA